rnacentral:rRNA from 1 species
CACUCCUGCGGGAGGCAGCAGUGGGGAAUUUUACGCAAUGGGGGAAACCCUGACGUAGCGACACCGCGUGAGCGAAGAAGCCCUUUGGGGUGUAAAGCUCUGUCAGCUGGAACGAAAACAAUGACGGUACCAGCAGAGGAAGCAUCGGCUAACUACGUGCCAGCAGCCGCGGUAAGACGUAGGAUGCGAGCGUUGUCCGGAUUUAUUGGGCGUAAAGAGUUCGUAGGUGGUUUGUUAAGUUUGGUGUUAAAGAUCGGGGCUCAACCCUGGGACUGCACUGAAUACUGGCAGACUCGAGUGUGGUAGAGGCUAGUGGAAUUCCCAGUGUAGCGGUGAAAUGCGUAGAUAUUGGGAAGAACACCGGUGGCGUAGGCGACUAGCUGGGCCAUAACUGACGCUGAGGAACGAAAGCCAGGGGAGCGAAUGGGAUUAGAAACCCGAGUAGUCC